CCCAGAAACCCUAUCUCAGUCCGGAUUGGAGUCUGCAACUCGACUCCAUGAAGUCGGAAUCGCUAGUAAUCGCAGAUCAGCAUUGCUGCGGUGAAUACGUUCCCGGGCCUUGUACACACCGCCCGUCACACCAUGGGAGUUUGUUGCACCAGAAGCAGGUAGCUUAACCUUCGCGAGGGCG
rnacentral:rRNA from 1 species